GGAUAAUCAAGGGAGGAGGUGGGGGAGACCUGUGUGCUAGAGAGUAUUUUGGCAGUCCAGAGCUUAAUGAAGGUGUGACACAUCUACAAGAAGGGCCAGAAGGACUGGGGAACUGCAGACCUAUUUUUCUGUACUGAGGAAGGUCAUAGAGCAGAUCAUCCUGAGUACCAUCACAUGGCAAGUUCAGGACAACCCAGGAAUGUCAGAGCCAGGCCGGCUUUGGUUUGUGAAAAACAAGCCCUGCCUUGAUCAACCUGAUCCCCUUCUAUGACAAGGUAUCGGCUCAUCUUGACAUCUGGAGAAAAGAAAGAGAGGUAUCAAAAUUAAAUGUAACUAGAAACAGGCAUGAGGAAUGAAGACUUUUUUUUCAGACAGCUGCACUGAAUCCAUUCUCCACCACAUAAAAAACAAUUCAUUUGA